GGGCUAUUAACUCAGUUGGUUUAGAGUGUUACCUUGACAGGGUAGAAGUCACUGGUUCGAGUCCAGUAUAGCCCACCA
rnacentral:tRNA from 1 species